CGUGUAAAAAAAAAUGCCGUCGCUGUAAAUUCCGGUUUCGGUCCCAAAGCGUUUGGGGGCUCGGGGCGUACCCGCGGGCUUGCAGUUCCCUCCUCUUUGGGUUGCGCAUCCAGUGGGCGCAGCAGACCCUGAGG
ensembl:misc_RNA